rnacentral:rRNA from 1 species
AGCGCAGGCGGACCGGCAAGUUGGAAGUGAAAACUAUGGGCUCAACCCAUAAAUUGCUUUCAAAAACCUGCUGGCCUUGAGUAGUGCAGAGGUAGGUGGAAUUCCCGGUGUAGCGGUGGAAUGCGUAGAUAUCGGGAGGAACACCAGUGGCGAAGGCGAUUCUCUGGACUGUAACUGACGCUGAGGCUCGAAAGCGUGGGGAGCAAACA